GAGAGUUGUAUCCUGGCUCAGGAUGAACGCUAGCGGGAGGCUUAAUACAUGCAAGUCGAGCGAGAAGGUUUUAGCUUGCUAAAACUGGACAGCGGCGCACGGGUGAGUAACGCGUACGCAAUCUACCUCUUAGUGGGGAAUAGCCCCGGGAAACUGGGAUUAAUGCCCCAUAGUAUUGAGAAGUGGCAUCACUUUUCGAUUAAAGAUCCGUCGCUAAGAGAUGAGCGUGCGUGCUAUUAGCUAGUUGGUAAGGUAACGGCUUACCAAGGCUACGAUAGCUAGGGGGCGUGAGAGCGUGAUCCCCCACACGGGUACUGAGACACGGACCCGACUCCUACGGGAGGCAGCAGUAAGGAAUAUUGGACAAUGGGCGCAAGCCUGAUCCAGCCAUCCCGCGUGCAGGAAGAAUGCCCUCUGGGUUGUAAACUGCUUUUGUAUGGGAAGAAACCCCACCAUUUAUGGUGGGCUGACGGUACCAUAAGAAUAAGCACCGGCUAACUCCGUGCCAGCAGCCGCGGUAAUACGGAGGGUGCAAGCGUUAUCCGGAAUCACUGGGUUUAAAGGGUGCGUAGGCGGUCUGAUAAGUCAGAGGUGAAAGCCCGGCGCUUAACGUCGGAAUUGCCUUUUGAUACUGUCGGACUU
rnacentral:rRNA from 1 species